rnacentral:tmRNA from 1 species
GGGGGCGACCUGGCUUCGACGUGGGUUGCGAAACCUGAGGUGCAUGCCGAGGAUGCAGCUGUCCUCGUAAAACCCGCUGCAAACCAAUAGCUGCCAACGACGACAGCUUCGCCCUGGCCGCGUAAAUAAGGCCAGCCUCCAACCGGGUGUGCUUGUGCGCCCGGAGCCGAGGUCAUCCGACACAAGAUCGCGCUGCGGCACGUCCGGGGCCAACGCGCUAAAACCUUACCGGACUCGCCUUUCCGCCCCCUGCCGGUCGGGAGCGGGAAGGUUAAAGGCAAAGACCCGGCUAAGCAUGUAGAACCGAUGGCGGAGGGCCCACGGACGCGGGUUCAAUUCCCGCCGCCUCCACCA